rnacentral:misc_RNA from 1 species
ACGAAUUAUGCGUUUAAUCCCACGCAACAAACUCCUCUGUGCUGGGUUGUGAUCUUAAAAAGGAGCUUUACUGUAUAGUGUUACAGUAGGAAUACCUACUAGAUCGAGGAUUCGGAACAGUACUAUCCUGUUUAUAUUGACAUUCUUCUGUUAAGAUUUCCCGUUUGAGAAACCCUUUAAGAUCUGAGUAUCUCGGAAUUGAAAAUAGGACUUUAUUUGCAUCCCUUCCAUUUCAUAGGAAUACAGCUAAGGAUACCAUCAGCUCGCAUACUAUUUACGGGAAACAGAAGUAGGGCAAAGAGGAAAAGAGCAACUCCCUCUAUUAGAACAAUAUUCUCGAAUCGUUGCCCUUUUAUUCAUGAAGAAAGAAAACACAUCGGUCUAUCUAAAGCAACAAAAUUCGUUCUAUCUUUCUUUCUCUCCUAUUAAUAAAACUGGACUUCUCCUCUGCUCCUAUCUUAGCGCGACGGAGAAGCCAGCACUGAGAGAAGACCUCCCUUUCAAAGUCCAUCGCCUGCACUUGAACCGGAUACCUACUAUUUAUUUUAUUGAACUAGACGAUCAGCGGACUUUUAUAUCAUAUCACCAACAACGGGUUUCGCCCACAGUACAGAGAUGAUCUCAAUCGCAUCGGCAUAAAGGUCCGGAUUCCACUUCAAAAGGAUUUACGCGCGAAUUCAACUAUAGACAUAUCUCUUUGGCGACCCAGGGACGGGGAUUCAUCAAUCCCGGGGUUCGAGGGAGACUUUAGAACCCCUAUAUAUGAGUCUCGAAACCAUUAUUUAUACAUUUCUCGAUGACAGAGAUCAUCUUUAAGGAGAAUAAACAUUGGUCCUUUAUUUAAUAACCCCGAUAUUAUCAAAACCAUGAUUUCCUUAUUUCUCGAUGGCAUAGGUUCCAGGGAAGGAAAACAGUCCGGUCCUUUUUCACCCCGAAAUUCGAGAGUAGCCGUAUAAACCAAUACCGGCAGAACCACCCAAACUCGGCUCAAAGCAGGAACAAAGACAUCUAGAAAGCCCACAUCACGUGGGGACUUGGCCUUGGUGGGACAUUCAACCGACAUACACAACCAAAUAAUAAUAGGUUUUAGCCAUGUAUUCCGCUACACCGCCCUAUUGAUCUACGCUUUCGAAGCAACCACCGGUACCAUUUUCACACAACAGAGCCGACUUACUUAUUACAUUUAUAGGACAGGGAACCG